rnacentral:rRNA from 1 species
UACAGAGGUCUCGAGCGUUAGUCGGAAUCACUGGGCUUAAAGCGUGUGUAGGCGGAUCGGUAAGUACCUUGUGAAAUCCCACAGCUUAACUGUGGAACUGCUUGGUAUACUGCCAGUCUUGAGCCACUUAGGGGCUACCGGAACAAAUGGUGGAGCGGUGAAAUGCGUAGAUAUCAUUUGGAACGCCAAUGGUGAAAACAGGUAGCUGGGAGUGUGCUGACGCUGAGACACGAAAGCCAGGGGAGCAAACGGG